AUCAGAGCUUAAAUGCAUGGUUGUAAGAAAUAAACAGUUUUAAUUUACAGCUGAGAUUGGCUACUCGUGAGAGUUUUGAGGCAUUGGACUUGGCAGUCAAGCUGAAAGAAGAAAUCUGAAUUCGCUCAUCGAUUAAAAUGGAACAAUAUGUCAAGCCCCUUAAGAAAGGGCCUGGUGGAAGGCGCUUUGUGGGUUCCAAGAAACAUUGAUCGGAGAGUGUAAAGUGUGGGAGACUAGUCCAGAAUAAAAAGGGCACUAGCCUGUAAUGAGUUUUUUUGGUUGGGGUAUGAUAGAUUUCCUUUUAAGUUAUCAUACGAAAUUGUAAACAAAAAAAAUUGUAGUCAGAUUUCCUUUUCGAAUAAAGAAGGAAGCCCGUACCAAAGGAUAGAAACUCUGCAACAAACAAGAUAGAAAAGCAGUGCAAAACAGGGGAUCCAUCAGAGAUAUUAAUUGCGGAAAUGCUGCCAUACAAAGACUUCUAUGCUGCAGAGGAAAAUAUGACAAAAAGAACCAACAUGGUAUGGAAACUUGCCGAGCGAUGCUUCCAAAUCCAAGAAACCCUUACUCAUGAAAAUCCAGGAGGCAUGAGAUAUGAUGUUUCCAAUUUUCCAUGCGUUAAUAUUUUAUGCUACUAUGCUAGGGAAAUUCCUUCCAUUAUGAGGGGCUAUGGAGACUUGUUCUAAAUUAUGGAAAAGAGUUAGGUUAUCCUGUGACAAAGCAAGAAAUUUUGGAUGAGAUCUAUGGGCAAUGAUUUAGGAUGGUUAGGAAGGUGUGCCGACAUGGUGUGAUGCCUCACUCUUCUCUUUUCACCUUUCACAAUACAUUGGAGAUUGGUUUUGGGCUAACUAUUUUGUAUUUGCACAUUACAUCUAAUUAGGCUGACCUAAUUGAUAUUGUUGAGAUUGUAGAUGAUUUAUAAAGGGUGGAAUCAUUGUGGAAAGUGAUAGAUAAGUUGCGUGAGUUGUGUGAAGCAAAUGUGAAGUAUUAUAGAGGUCUAGAAGUAUAACAAAGCAAUAAUGAAGAUAAUUUUUUAUGUGUUUUGAACAGUGAA